AAUCUGUAAAACUCAAAUCUCUAGAUACGUGAUCUGAGAAGGUUUCCGAGGAACUCGAGGCGUGUAUUCAUCCGGCACCACUGGAAGUUUCUUAUAUAAAAUGGAUUAGAAACAAAUGUUUGCACUCAUGUGGAUAUAAUCAAGUCCGGGGCUCUGCGGCUGGCCUUUCAGCUGAGCUGCGCUAGGGGGAUAAAAAAAAAAAGAACAAAAUUCCAAACCCAAACUCACUCCUCUCUCUUGUUUCCAGGAACCGGCCGCAAGGACUGAACGUCUCUGGGUGAGCUCAGUGCAGAGUGUUGCAGAGAGAAGGGGGGAGGGCGGGUGGGGGUGAAGGGAUAGGAAGGACGUUUCUUUUUCUCUCUUUCUCUUUUUUUUAAGUUGCUGGCAGGAACCGUCAGCGACCCAAUCUGCUUUCAAUUACCGGUGGAGGAUGAUGUUAGCCCUCUUCCUGUCCGUUAUGUCUUGCACAUGCAAACUCCAAAACAUCCUGAAGUCUCACCACUGUCCUCUCAUCCCUCCUUCCCCUCCCUCACUCUCUCUCCUCCUCCAUCCGCUGAGAGCAAAGUGAUUCAUCUUCAUUGCAGUAGAGGGUAAAAUGGCCAAAGGGUCAUUUCCACUCUUCCUCAGCCUGACCCCAUCUUUUAAGUGCUGGUGAUUCUGUGGUCAGUGGUCCAAAGAGUAGUUAAGGGAUUUCUGAAUGUGCAUUGGAGGGAAAGGGAGGCUGCUGUUGAUGAGCUCUUAGUUUUUCUUGUGGCAAUAAGUGGUGACGCGGUUUGGGUUAUAAAUUUGUUUUGUACUUAAUAUGAAGCAAAGACUGUGUGAUGCAAACCAGCCUGCAACCUUGCAGGGCCACUGCAAGGCUGAAUGAAACUGAGACACAACUAAUGCUGAUUACAAACAAAGGAUCCAAUACAGAUUGUGUCAAGGACCUGUCCAUGUGCCUCUUAAUGAUUUUUUUUCCUAGCAUAUUUUUUCCUUGAGUAGUCUAUGACAUGUAGCACUCAGCCUCAGUUGAAACUUAACCAAAUGGUUUUUUCUGUUGUUUUUUUUACUCCUAGAUAGCUUCUUUUUGUUUUUUCUACAUCUGAGGAACAUUUCUAAACUCAAGCCGAUUGUAUCUCAAGCUGAGAUGGAGAUGAUCAUUCACUCUUUUCUCUUUAACUCCCUAUUCACUUGCCUUAACAAGACAUCUCUGUAUCAGUUACAAGUGGACCAGAAUGCCGCCACAAAGUUUUUGACCAGGUCCUCUAAAAAUGUCUUGUGUAACACAAAUCUUGAUUACUUUACACUGGCUCCCUAUCAAAUUCUGACAUUUGUUAGCUACUGUAGCCUUCUAUCACCAGUAGAUCUCUUCUGAUCACAGCUCAUUGUACCUUGCUCCAGGCUAAAAAGUUAAGACUAAAACUUUGUGUUUGUGGCUUCUAAGCCUUGGAACUCACUCCCUUUGGGACUUAAGAUCUGGGUACACCUUUAAAAAGCAGCUCAAAACCCAUCUGUUUACACUUGCUUUUGUUUAAUCUAUUUAUAUUUGUUAGUUUUAUAGUGUCUGUAUUCAUGUCUGAAAAACUUUAAUUACUUCUUUUGACCAGCUGCACUUCUUUAACUCCUCUUAUCUAACCAACACAAAACACAGACGCAUUUUGGCAAGAUUUAGGAACUAUAUCUGUCCUUUUUCUAGGCCUGGAAAGCAUCAGUUUUCCAAUUUGAUGUCUUUUCUUUUAUUCCUUGACCACAAUAACUGCCGAAAGCCCUUUAUUUACACUGAUAGUCUGUUUCCACCACAGGAACCUUCCCAGGGGACCAGGAACCAUUUCAGGAACUCAGGAACCGUUCCUGUGUUUCGACCAGUGGAACCAGGGACUAAAGUCAGUUCCUCUGCCAUAGUUCCUGGACCCUUCCAACUAGGCGAUGGACAGACAGAAGGACGGACGCAGUGAGAGGAAGAGAAGAAGAGGAGAAGGAGAAAUAUAAUUAAUGCAAGCAGAGGUCUAAACUUCCCAUCAUUCCACCUGGCUGCUCCUUCAGCUCUUCAUCUGCAUUAACGCUUCAGACCGGCGCUGCUAAACUGCACAAAAACAUCUGGUCCGAGUGGAAGGGACAAGGCAAGACAGCACAGGAUGUGGAAGGAAGCUGGGGCGAGGAGGGAGAUGAGGAGCACCAGCCACAACAACAUAUGCACUAACCCCAAACCAUCAGCUCCCUACCCUGUGAAAGUGGAGGGCCUCAACCUCCUGAGGAUGAUGGAUCAGGGGAGAAAACCUGAGAAACAGCUGCAAGGGGAGAAACCUUUUGUUUUUCCUCAUGGACACAUCAGUAUUCUUAUCCAUUAUUAAGCUUUUACAGAAUGACAAAUUUUUACAUUAAGACAUUGAAACAAAUGUACUGCAAUGUGUGCAAAGAAAACGUUUCUUUAAUCAUUGUUUAAGAAAGAAAAAAAGCUAAAAAUCUUCUACAAGGCUGAGAUAUGAUGUUUUAUUAGAGUAAAAACUUUGAUUUUU